UUGAUUUUUUUAUAAAAUUAAAUUCUUGUUGUAACUGAAUUAAUUGCAAUGAAGUUAUCCCAAACUGCAGACUACGCAGCUGCUUCUCUUUUUCUGCUGGGCUCGCAGCUAAUGCCAAACGCGACUAAAAUAAUCCUGAAACCUUUAGCCUAAUGAUAGAUUUAUUUCAUUGUAAAGCGUAAGCUUAAGAAACUGUGGCAUGCAAGUGACCGAUUCGUACCAAAUAUCGCAAUUUGUACUUACCACAAACUUUCAGAAUCCGUAGUUUUAUAUGGCUGCUCGACCCUUAUACCCUUAUACCGGCCAGUCGAUAACUUUUGUCCCUUCUUUUAACUUCACGGCACCAAGGACUUGCUUUGCAUUUACAACACUCGCGCUAUUCUCGUUUUCCCAUCGAACAACGGUAAAACCCAUCUUUAGAGAUGUCAACAGUCGAGAAAAGAAAUAACUUAACCUACGAUCGAGCGAUCAACGGAUGAAAAGUACAUUCAAAGAUGAGCGCCAAAUAGAUUUUCUUUGUUACGGGAUGAUCACGUGGACAUCUUGGGAUUGUCAUUGGCUUGUAAAGAGAAUCCGCUGGCUUACCUGACUGCAGUCUUGAGAGAUCGUUUUACCUUGGAUCGAUUGGAUCCAUGUUCUGAAGAUGAGCUAAGUAAUGAUGUGAACUCACUCUGCGUAGAAAUACUCGAGAAGAAUCGAACGUACUACAAAUGUAAGAUUUGUAGCCGAAAGCUGUCGAGGAAACAAAGACUCGAAACCCUGACUUGACUUGUGUUCACGGCAAAGAUGGAGGCUAAACCACCUUAGAAAGUAUAAGAGCCACCCAGAUGAUCACAGUGUACCAGUACCCAAAUUUAUAAAGUUGCACCGUAACAAGCGUUCGGCGACACGUUCCAACACAGCCAUCUCGAUUCCUCAGUCUUUUGCUUUCACUGACCUAGCAGCGGUGCCAACAGAGUCAAGUGCGUCUCAUAACGAAUAAACAUUAAUGUACAAGAGAAGGGAGCGAUUAUAGUUAAAAUUCUUGCUUGUAAAUGAAUGUGGACAUUCCGAAGCGUUGACCCAUGCUUAUGAUUACGUUUAUGUAUGAUGAUUGUGGCACAUCUCCGGACACGAGACAUUUUGCAUCACAAGAAAAUCUUUUACGACUGGAAUCCAAGAGGCCUUUGAGGUUAUGACCAGGAGCAUACUGACUUUUAUGCAAGUCAGCAGCCAUCUACAAGUGCAUCUGGCAGACCACAGA